rnacentral:rRNA from 1 species
GGGAUAGCGUCUGGAAACGGACGGUAAUACCAUUUAAAGUAUAUUAACGGCAUGGUAGAUAUACCAAAGCUGAGGCGCCUAAGGAUGGACUCGCGUCUGAUUAGAUAGUUGGUGGGGUAACGGCCUACCAAGUCGACGAUCAGUAGCCGGACUGAGAGGUUGAACGGCCACAUUGGGACUGAGACACGGCCCAGACUCCUACGGGAGGCAGCAGUGGGGAAUAUUGCACAAUGGGCGAAAGCCUGAUGCAGCAACGCCGCGUGAAGGAAGACGGUUUUCGGAUUGUAAACUUCUGUUCUUAGUGAAGAAUAAUGACGGUAACUAAGGAGCAAGCCACGGCUAACUACGUGCCAGCAGCCGCGGUAAUACGUAGGUGGCAAGCGUUGUCCGGAAUUACUGGGUGUAAAGGGAGCGUAGGCGGGAAGCCAAGUCAGCUGUGAAAACUACGGGCUUAACCUGUAGACUGCAGUUGAAACUGGCUUUCUUGAGUGAAGUAGAGGUUGGCGGAACUCCGAGUGUAGCGGUGAAAUGCGUAGAUAUUCGGAGGAACACCGGUGGCGAAGGCGGCCAACUGGGCUUUAACUGACGCUGAGGCUCGAAAGUGUGGGGAGCAAACAGGAUUAGAUACCCUGGUAGUCCACACUGUAAACGA